CCUACGGGGGGCAGCAGUCGCGAAAACUUCACACUGGGGGCAACCCCGAUGAGGGAAUUCCUAGUGCUAGGACAUUUGUUCUAGCUUUUCUCUAGCGUAGAUAACUAGAGGAAUAAGGGCUGGGUAAGACGGGUGCCAGCCGCCGCGGUAAUACCUGCAGCCCAAGUGGUGGUCGAUUUUAUUGAGUCUAAAGCGUUCGUAGCCGGUUUGAUAAAUCCUUGGGUAAAUCGGGAAGCUUAACUUUCCGACUUCCGAGGAGACUGUCAAACUUGGGACCGGGAGAGGCUAGAGGUACUUCUGGGGUAGGGGUAAAAUCCUGUAAUCCUAGAAGGACCACCGGUGGCGAAGGCGUCUAGCUAGAACGGAUCCGACGGUGAGGGACGAAGCCCUGGGUCGCAAACGGGAUUAGAUACCCCAGUAGUCC
rnacentral:rRNA from 1 species